CAGCCAUUGAGGAAGGAGCUCUCUGCCAUGGAAGAGAGGAGAUGCCUGCUGAAGAAGUGGUGCUUGACACUGCUGUGGGAUGAAGAACCCUGGCACCUUUCAUACAAAGGCUAUCUUCUGCAAACAUCGAUUAAGCCUUACAGUGCCUUGAGAGGCACUCUUAUGUACCUUGAGAGCAUGAAAACAAUGAACAAGGAAUUUUCAAUAGGUAACCAAUAGAAAAUGCCGGCAUAGGGUAUGGAUGACCUCACACCUGUCUGGAGUCUGUCUCAGACAUUCAGUUUCUUCUAGGAGAGUUACUGAUGUCCCAGGAGAUGUUCAGGCUUUUUCUCCUAAAGAAAAAUGAUCACUCCAGGAGAAAAACAAUCUGGGAACAACUAGGGGUAAAUAACUCCCAGGAGAGUAUCUGUGACUUCUCUCAAAGAGAGUAUCAUCCUCCAGGAGUCUGCCCCUAUCACUCCCAUGGAGACUGUGCUACUCAUUGGACCCGGCUGUUUCAUCUGGGAGCAGAACAUGCCCCCUUCGUAAUCCCCAUAUUAUGCUGCAGGGAAACACAGGCUGACCAUGGGUAGCCUGGGUCAGCCAAUCAGGGCUGUUCUAUACACUGCUACCAUCUGUUGUCAGGCUGACUGAGGGAGCCUGCAGAGUAUGCUGAGAUGUAUGAACUGCCCACCCCCAUGGCUGCAUAGUGUCAGUACUGCAAUCUCUUCACUCUUCAGGGCCUCAGCAUCGAAAUGUCUGUAUACACAGCUCUGGGUAAAUUUCUUUACUAGGAGAACAAACCUGGGAGAAUUCUCCUAGAUUAUUUGAAUGCGUGUAUGUUGCCUCAGGCUGCACAUGAUACACCCCUAUCAUUUUAGAAUUCAAAUAAUCUGGAGGAAGACAUUUCAUUAGGAAGAAAAGGAGGACAAUGAGAAACACACCUGCCUUUUGAUGUAUACCCUAGUGCUUAGUGCAUUCAUUGAGGACUGGGAGAUCUGGGUCCUAGGCCCUAGAUGGCCUGAAUGACAAUGUGAACCAACAUCUCUGACUUACCAGGAAAGAGCCUUAGUCAGAAGGCUAAGGGCCAGAAAGUAUUUAGGGUAUCUAUCUUCCAAUCUUUAUGUACACCUGGGCCCAUGAGCAGAGAGAAAUACAACCACUGUGAGGCUAUGAAAGAUGCAAUCUUAUUCUGUAGUCCAGUGAAGAGGGCAUUCCUUUGGUAGGGGGGGACCCCUGGGUUCUGCUUCUUGUUUCUGAUGUCAUUUAUGCAUUUUACACCAACUAGUCUUUGGAUAAAAUGCAAUAAGGCAAUGGAACAAGCUUCCCUAGGGAAGAUUUAGAAUUUCCUUUAUCAGAGGUUUUCAGAAGGAAUCUAGAUAAGUAUCUGUCUGGGAUGGUAGAAACAUGGAUUUGCACAGAGGUUUGGGCUUGAUGAGCCUGAAGGUCCCUUCCACCUGCAUCCUUUCAUAAUUCUAAACCAGAGUUUGGAUUAGAAAGCAUGGGCUUGAUUAUACCAAUCAUUUACAAAAUGGGCAAAUUCUAUAGAUGUUUAUUACACCAGUUCCUAAAGUGUACCUAGUUUGUUUGUUUGUUUGUUUGUUUUUAAUAAAUAAAAGCCAGAAACUG